AGUGAACGCUGGCGGUAGGCCUAACACAUGCAAGUCGAACGGCAGCACAGUAAGAGCUCGCUCUUACGGGUGGCGAGUGGCGGACGGGUGAGGAAUACAUCGGAAUCUACUUUUUCGUGGGGGAUAACGUAGGGAAACUUACGCUAAUACCGCAUACGACCUACGGGUGAAAGCAGGGGAUCUUCGGACCUUGCGCGAUUGAAUGAGCCGAUGUCGGAUUAGCUAGUUGGCGGGGUAAAGGCCCACCAAGGCGACGAUCCGUAGCUGGUCUGAGAGGAUGAUCAGCCACACUGGAACUGAGACACGGUCCAGACUCCUACGGGAGGCAGCAGUGGGGAAUAUUGGACAAUGGGCGCAAGCCUGAUCCAGCCAUACCGCGUGGGUGAAGAAGGCCUUCGGGUUGUAAAGCCCUUUUGUUGGGAAAGAGAAGCAGCAGGUUAAUACCCCGCUGUUCUGACGGUACCCAAAGAAUAAGCACCGGCUAACUUCGUG
rnacentral:rRNA from 1 species